CUACGGGGGGCUGCAGUGAGGAAUAUUGCACAAUGGGGGGAACCCUGAUGCAGCAACGCCGCGUGGAGGAUGACGCAUUUCGGUGUGUAAACUCCUUUUAUAUGUCAAGAAAAUGACGGUAGCAUAUGAAUAAGCACCGGCUAACUCCGUGCCAGCAGCCGCGGUAAUACGGAGGGUGCAAGCGUUACUCGGAAUCACUGGGCGUAAAGGACGCGUAGGCGGGUUGGAAAGUCAGGUGUGAAAUCCUACAGCUUAACUGUAGAACUGCACUUGAAACUUCUAAUCUAGAGUAUGGGAGGGGGAGAUGGAAUUAGUGGUGUAGGGGUAAAAUCCGUAGAUAUCACUAGGAAUACCUAAAGCGAAGGCGAUCUCCUGGAACAUUACUGACGCUAAGGCGUGAAGGCGUGGGGAGCAAACAGGAUUAGAUCCCCGGUAGUC
rnacentral:rRNA from 1 species